rnacentral:lncRNA from 1 species
CACAACACAAAGUUUAUUCAAAUCAGAAAACAGAUAAGCUUCAUGACAGGUGGUGAUGUUAUAAAAGGUAAUCUAUAUCAAGGGUUCAGUACAAAUUAGUCUCGGAGCCUGAUACAAUAUGCAAUUUAUUCUAAAGUACUGUAUCGUCAGUGUGAUAUUUUCCAAGGUAAGUCUGAAUCGUGAGUGGUCAGCACACAUGGUGGCUGCUAUCCGAUAGGGCAAUUCAACAGACACUGCUAAUUAGCAUACUAUAUAUUUAAAAAUGGACUUUUAUGGGGAAACUAGUGUCUUGUUAAUUGUCAUGAAAGGUUCUCGUGGGCAAAAUUAAAUGGAUUCAAGGCUGGCCAGAAUAGCUUUCAUGACUAGGGGGUAAGAAUCCAUGAACUCUCCUUCAGUCCCUAGCGACAGUGGCUGAGGCCUGUGUCUGUUGGUCCAGUCCACUUGCCAAUACAGGAGUAUUAUAGAAUCUUACCCCAGGAAUAUUGCUGCAUCUACCUCAAGAAAACCUUAUAUACAGGGUGUGGUCUCCUUAUAUACAAGGAGAGAGAGCUGGGACUCCAUCCAGCUUACAGAAGAGGAUGCUUCUGGGCUGGCUUCACUAUUAAAUGAAUAUGGAUCUCUUAUGUGUGAGGCAGAUUCCAAAUGCUGUCAGUCUAAUUUGGUAGAUUUAAGGGAGCAGCUCACUCACCAGCUCUGAUUGGUCACGUGACUGACCAAACGCAACCGGCUUGAUGACCUUUGAAAACGUUUCAAUUGUGUAAGGGAGAAAGGCUCUUUUAGAAAAUUCUUACAGGGGAAGUCUGUAAAAAUCGCAGUUGGUAAAUAAUGUUUAGACAAAGCUUCGUACCUACUGGGAACUCAAAAAGUAUGUAUGAAUGAGAGAGCAGCGAACUGAUGGUUUCUAUAGACAGAGGAGCCAACAUUCUACAGGCUACAUGCACUGUCUGCCAAGGACACAGUCAGAUGCUAGGUUCCCUGUGGUUAGUAAAGGCCUCCUUGAAGAGAAACAUCAUUAUCCAGGCCUGUGGAAAGCAGCCCCAGGCUGUGCACAUGCGGCCCACAUGGGUUUUCUUUCUUUUUUUUUUGUUUUGAGGAGAGUCUCACUGUGUCGCCCAGGCUGGAGUGCAGUGGCGCAAUCUCGGCUCACUGCAACCUCCGCCUCCCGGGUUCAAGCAAUUCUCUGCCUCAGCCUCCCGAGUAGCAGGAAUUACAGGCAUCUGCCACCAAGCCCAGCUAAUUUUCGUAUUUUUAGUAGAGAUGGGGUUUCACCAUCUUGGCCAGGCUGGUCCUGAACUAACCUCGUGAUCCACCCGCCUUGGCCUCCCAAAGUGCUGGGAUUACAGGCGUGAGCCACCACACCCGGCCCCACAUGGGUUUUCAAAUCAGCCAUGUGCAGCCCUCAUCCAUAUCUGUGCACUAUCUGUACAGCAAGUAAAGUUACCUGGGACAGUCAGACUUAAGGGUUCUUUUUAAUUGAUCUCUUUAGUUGCUGUAAAGUUAACUGACUUACUAAAGUUAACAUGAGGACUUGAGAGCAUUCUCCUUUGUGAUUUGAGGAACCCAUGUUAUUAGGCAUUACCCACCUAAUAGCAACCGACUAAAAUGUGACGUGGAGGUUCAGGAUCAACUUCUCUGAGACGAAUCGUCUUUCAAAACUUGAAUUUGCUAACCAAGUUGAGGAAGUGGCAACAAACAUCAAGUCACAUUUUAUUCGAGGUCUGCUGCAGGGUUCCUUAAAUAACGAAUGUAUGCAUUUAUAGAACACUGACAGAAAUGGGUUGAAAAACUACAGAAACCAAGAGGCAAGAGUACGAAUUAGAAACAAACGUUGUGUAAGCACAGUUGAAGCCGAUAAGCACAGGGAAUUAGAUUUUUAUACUAUUCAGAAAAACAGUCACUUGAAUUUGGCUUUGGAAUACCGUAAUGACUGACUCAGACAUAGCCAUGUUUAAUAGCACAGAAUUUCAUGACAUCGUCACAACCUGAAAGUCUGCAGACUGCUGCUCCAUCCUGCACUCUAACCCUAACCUCUACCCACUCCAGGCCAGGCAUAGGGUUUCAAUUACUGUUGAGGCUGAAAUGAGAUGAGAUGAGAGGCUCCUCCCCAGCCUCUUCCCUUCCACCUGCCCACCCCCAUCCCACUUCCGGUCUCAAGGAGAGAACUGUUUUAGUGUCUAGUUGAGCUUUAGAAAGAGCACAGAUAACCGUAACUGUUUUCCAGCAUGAACACCAACUUUCGCGUAUAAUUCUGGGAUAAUUUCGUACCUAGUGUUUUAAUUUUUUUUUUUUUUGAGACAGAGUCUUGCACCGUCGCCCGGGCUGGAGUGCAAUGGCGGCGUGAUCUCAGCUCACUGCAACCUCUGCCUCCCAGGUUCAAGCGAUUCUCCUGCCUCAGCCUCCCGAGUAGCUGGGAUUACAGGUGCCUGCCACCAUGCCCAGCUAACUUUUUGUAUUUUUUAGUAGAGAUGGGGUUUCACUAUGCUGGCCAAAAUGGUCUCAAACUCGACCUCGUGAUCCACCCGCCUCGGCCUCGCAAAGUGCUGGGAUUACAGGCGUGAGCCACCACGCUCAGCCGUGUUUUAAUUUUUACUGCACAUGAAACCAAUAUUGCAUGUGCCCCUUAAACUGUGCAUGCAAACUAAGAAACAGGCAUGUCAUAUAUAGUAAACACGGCUGCAGGGCUUCUCUACAAAACUGUUAAGAGCUUUUAGCACCCAUUCCUCCAUCACACUUAGUUUUUUACACAUGCCUGUAUCAGUAAGCCAUAUCAGACCCCACUUACAGUAGACUUAAUAUUGGUACUGAACACUGUUACAGGAAUCCCAUUCAAAAGAUUCUUUUCUGCAGCCACCUGCUACCGUAACCUCUCUAGUAUUCUCCUUCUACCCCCCAACCCACUUUGUCCUUAACUAGAGCUAUGAACUAUUGAUAUAUGUGCUUACCCCAACAUCCAUGGAGUAAAUAUAUAAAGCGUUAAUAUUUGCAGUGAGGAGCCUAGCUUUUUUCCUGGAAACUAAGGCUUGGACGUAUCAAGAGAACUCUGAACCUGUUACCCGUUCUUUUAACUGUGGCCCACAGACCGGAAAAAAACACAAAAGCCUUGGUGACCUUUGAAAAUCUGUCAGCAUAUUAUUGAAAUUUCUAAUAUUGAGAGGGAAAAUGGGGGGUGGGGAUAAUGGGCUGGAUUUUUUUUGUUACGUCUAUUAUUUCUAAUAGUGUAAUCUGCUAUCCUACUUCAUUUCUCUGGGGGCCACAGGGAGAGAAGUUUUCUCUUACUUUACCUGAGCCUAAUUAUAAGAAUCCACUACUUUGUUAGUAGCAAACCUAGGUUCUACUUCUGUGGAUUUUUUUUUUUUUAACAAAACAAUGCAAUAUAAAUACAAAGAUUUCACGGUAGCCAACCACAGAAAUUCUGUCUUAUGAUUGCAGCCAUACAAGGAAGCACAGUUAUUUCUACUUGUUCAGAGCUGAAAUUAAACUUCUUCCAGAGCACCUCGAGGGGAAAGAUUUAAAUGAUUUCUAAACAGGAAGUAAAGACAAGCACUGUAGAACAUUUAUAAACUUAUAUCCUAGACACUCAAAACUCAACGAAACAAAAAAUUCUCAAAAUUCAGGAUCUGGUCCUUAGAAAUUUGAAGGUGCUGCCAAAAUAAACAGUGGUAUAUUUUGAUUUUGUCUCCAUCAAAGUCUUUGCAAUUAAUUUUUAUUCAAUAGUACAUCCAGUAAUAAGAUUUUCAUUCAGAAACUAAAGAAAAAGGACACAAGAAUUUCAAGGGCUUGAAUAUAUUUUUAUAUUGAUAUUCUGUGUCGUUCUACCCUAAAAUAAUACAUUAUUGAUUACAUACAGGAUGAGGUGAGGUAUUUGUAAAAUAUCUGGUAAAAAAUAAUUAAUAUACAGUAUUCUACAUGAGAUGGAAUCUUAUGACUCCUUAGGUCUUCUGCAGUGUUAAAAGUGAUCAUCUAAAUUAAACUGCUCUGAAUGGACUUACAGUUGUUCCCUAAAACCAUGUUAAAAAAUGAAGGCUUUUACUGAUCUGUCUCAGCAAACUACAAAGC